CGCCCCGUCAUUGGGGAGUAGCCUCCUUCACCUCCAGAAGGGGAUGCGUCAACAGACUUGGACUGCUUCAGUCCAUGGCGCAUCCGGCCCGAGCGGCUUGGCGAGACCUUUGGCGGGAGUCCCUCGACGCAUGGGGUCGGGCGGGACGACCGGCCAUUGGUUUCUUCGCCCGAU
rnacentral:sRNA from 1 species